rnacentral:rRNA from 1 species
CUACGGGCGGCUGCAGUGAGGAAUUUUGCGCAAUGGGGGGAACCCUGACGCAGCAACGCCGCGUGAGUGAUGAAGGCUUUCGGGUCGUAAAGCUCUGUCAAGUGGGAAGAACCUAUGCAGUGUUAAUAUCACUGUAUACUGACGGUACCACUGAAGGAAGCACCGGCUAACUCCGUGCCAGCAGCCGCGGUAAUACGGGGGGUGCAAGCGUUCUUCGGAAUCAUUGGGCGUAAAGGGCACGUAGGCGGCUUGGUAAGUCAGAUGUGAAAGCCCGGGGCUUAACCCCGGAAGUGCCUUUGAUACUGUCAGGCUUGAGUAUGGGAGAGGGAAGUGGAAUUCCUGGUGUAGAGGUGAAAUUCGUAGAUAUCAGGAGGAACACCGGUGGCGAAGGCGACUUCCUGGACCAAUACUGACGCUGAGGUGCGAGGGCGUGGGUAGCAAACAGGAUUAGAUACCCGCGUAGUC